CUACGGAGGGUGCAAGCGUUGUUCGGAAUCACUGGGCGUAAAGGGCGCGCAGGCGGUUUGGUAAGUCAGAUGUGAAAGCCCAUGGCUCAACCAUGGAAGUGCAUUUGAAACUGUCAGACUUGAGUACUAGAGGGGAAAGUGGAAUUCCCGGUGUAGAGGUGAAAUUCGUAGAUAUCGGGAGGAAUACCGGUGGCGAAGGCGACUUUCUGGCUAGAUACUGACGCUGAGGCGCGAAAGCGUGGGGAGCAAAUAGGAUUAGAAACCCCAGUAGUCC
rnacentral:rRNA from 1 species